AUGUUCACUGACAGCAGCCCGGCGUGGAUACCCCGAGCAGGAUACAGAGCGCCUGGGCAGAGCUUGCUCUGGCUGCUGGCUGCUGACACCGAGUCCCUGGGAAUAUUCAGGUGUGUGAGAAGCAGUCGAGGUGCUCCUGCAGCCAGGGCUCACGGAGCUGGAGGCAAACCUUCGCUUUGCCACUGCCUUUCUGCAGCUUCGUGGGGAAAGCAGCUCUGCCUUUGGCUUCCUUGGGCAAAUAUUUGGAUUCCCCACACCUCACCUCCAGGUGAAUACCUGGUCCUGUCCCUCGUGCAGCCUCAUGCCCAGGGCAGCAGUGCAGUGCCCAGCAGUGCCCUGCGCUCUCCACCAGCUGCUGGUUGUCUCUGCGUGGGUCAAGUGUUCCUCUGCCUAUCCUUGCUCUCCACCCAUGAGAUAGGGCUAAUGAUAUCCAGGUGGCUUCCCAGAGAGCUCUUUUAUUAUAAACAAAGGUUGGCUGCGAGGACCACGUGUCCUCGGGGUCUCUGUGUGUGUGCCUGGCCUCUUUGUUGGAAAUAUUUUGCCUUGGCCACGCUUACAGAGAGGAGCUUUCGGUGGUGGCAGCAAAACAUGCCUGAAGCUGCAGGAUUGGACCCCUGGGAGGAGGCGAGCGCGCAGUUCCCCCCGCAGAGCUGCACAGGGGAUGCGUUUAUCUCCCGUGCCCUUGUCAGAGGGAGCUGCGAGCAUCCCGCCUGCUCGCACCCAGCCUUACUGCUCCUCCUGCCCCCGGGGGGGCAGUGACCCGUGACGGCACGACGAAUGUGAAGGUGUCGGGCUGAGCGCUGGGGAAAUCCACCCGCACCAUCUGCACGUCGGGCCGGGCGAUGCUCUCCUUCUGACAGGGAGAUGAGAGAGGCAGGAGCCGGCGGCAGCAUCUGGCUUGCACAUCUGCUGGUGCUGCCCGGGCUCGGCACAGCUGGCAGUGCUGGGACGGGGCUCGGAGCCGUGCAGGGAGCAGUGCCCGUGUGGGUGCAGCAGGGCGAGGGCACGACGGUGCCUCCUGCACCCAGGGUCUGCCCUGCCCCGCACAGCCCAGGCUGCGAUCAGUGCUCUGCCCCCCAGAUGUGCUGAAUGUGCAGCACUUGGCAACGAGGUUCCUCUUUCUGAAUAUUUUUUCCACCCCUUCUCGUAACCCUCCUCCAGCCCUGGCCGUGCUGAGCCGUGGGGAUCUGCAGCAGAUGCUGGGCAGUGAGGGGCUGGGGAGGGGGCACGCGAGCUGGGCACGGAGCAAUCCUCGAGCUCAGGACCCUCUCCUUGGGAUUUGAGUUCAAGGACUUUGCCGUGCCAUAUUCCUGGUCUGUAAUGUCGAGCUGCUUCAGACCCAGCGAGCAGGGACGAAUCCUGCCUCCAGGAUGAGCAGCAGCCAGCCUGCCGGAGCCGCUUCCCCUUCUCCCUCCGUUCACCAGGCUCGGAGCUCCCUCCCCGGCUCUGCGCUCAUGGUCCCUCCUGGAGACUGCAGACAAAAACCUAAUUGCAUGACAUAAAUUAUUGCAACUCUCCAAAUAAAAGCCCAGGAAAAAAAAAAAAAGGCUGUGGC
rnacentral:lncRNA from 1 species